rnacentral:rRNA from 1 species
GCUUGUCUCAAAGAUUAAGCCAUGCAUGUUCAAGUAUAGCAAGUGUACAGUGAAACUGCGAAUGGCUCAUUAAAUCAGUUAUAAUUUAUUUGAUAGUGAAAUUGUACAUGGAUAACCGUGGCAAUUCUAGAGCUAAUACAUGCGCCAAGUCCCGUCUUACGUCGGGAUGUAUUUAUUAGAUUUCAAUCAACACUUUUUGCUGACUCAUGAUAACUUAGCGGAUCGCAGAGGCCUCGCGCCGGCGACAAAUCAUUCAAGUUUCUGCCCUAUCAGCUUUCGAUGGUAGUGUAUUGGACUACCAUGGCAUUCACGGGUAACGGAGGAUUAGGGUUCGAUUCCGGAGAGGGAGCCUGAGAAAUGGCUACCACAUCCAAGGAAGGCAGCAGG